UACGAAGGGUGCUAGCGUUGCUCGGAAUUACUGGGCGUAAAGCGCACGUAGGCGGUCUUUUAAGUCGGGUGUGAAAUCCUGGAGCUCAACUCCAGAACUGCCUUCGAUACUGGAAGACUUGAGUCCGGGAGAGGUGAGUGGAACUGCGAGUGUAGAGGUGAAAUUCGUAGAUAUUCGCAAGAACACCAGUGGCGAAGGCGGCUCACUGGCCCGGUACUGACGCUGAGGUGCGAAAGCGUGGGGAGCAAACAGG
rnacentral:rRNA from 1 species